rnacentral:lncRNA from 1 species
GGAGAAAGGAAGGGCAAAGGGAAGGGGAAAGAAUAGAGACAUAAGAGAAAAAUCAGUAAGCAGACUUGAGAAAGCACCUUGGAAAGUACGAAACCAAUAGAACAUUUUAUGACUACUUUCAACUCUCAUAUACGGCUCUGAGUCCAUGUACGUCCAUCUAAUACUGCUCUCAGAACCCAUCCCAUGGACUGGAAGAGAGGGAAUGGAAGAAAGAGAAUGUGCUGGAAGAGAGAGAAUGAAGAGGAACAGUUCCUGCCUCACUCUCAACUUCCUGUGGGGAAGCUCUAAGAAAGGUGGCUCAGUGAGAUCGCGCCACUGUACUCCAGCCUGGGUGACAUAGCAAGACUCCAUCUCCAAAAAGAAAAGGUGACUCAGAAGCUAACUCCUUGGAUACAGUUUCCCCACUGUUUCUGUGAACUUGACCGUUUUUGUCUUACCUAUACUUUAUCUUAAUUUCCUAAAAUGUAACCUGAAGAAAUAAUUGUACCUACCUUUUAGAGUUUUUUUUUUUUAAACACAUUGUAUGAGUUAAUAUAUUGUCCUGUCUGGCAAGAUUAUAGUAGAAUAAAAUACAGAUCCAAAUUGCAGUGGCUUGGCUGGAAAAGAAACAUUUAUUUCUCAUUCACAUCGAAUUUGACGUGUUUCACUGGGAAUGUCCUCUGUUACUUCAGGAAACCAGGCUCUUUUCAUUUUGUAAUGCUUCUAUGUCAUCACAAACCACGUGUUUACAUGGCUUUCAAGGUCCUCUCAGCCAGGAAAAAGAGGAAUGGACAAGGCACACUGGUUUAUAAUGGCCCUAGCCCAGAAGCAACCCACAUCAGAACUUUCCACAGUCUAUUAAUCAAAAACAGUAACAUGGCCCCGGUGUAAAUGGUUUGAAGGCUAGAUAACAGAGGGGCGCACAUGGAAUACUUGAUGAGCAAUAACAGUCUUUACCAUAAAUAUAUUAAAGUUUAUAUUAGAGCCUUGUCCAUAUUAAACACUCAAUAUAUAUUAGCUCUUAUUAUUAUAAGUAGCACUGUGAUUAAAGUAUUUACAGAUAAAUCUCUACUAGAGUUAUGUUAUUUAAUUAAGAUUCCUAGAAGUAUAUCUAUUAUUCUAAAGGAUAUAAAUAUUUGUGGGUUUUUAUAAAGUUUCUCAAAUUCAUUUUGAGAAUAAGAGUGUUACAAAUUGAUGAUGAGCAUUUGUUU